UUCCGGUUGAUCCUGCCGGACCUGACUGCUAUCGGAUUGAUACUAAGCCAUGCGAGUCAUUGUAGCAAUACAAGGCAUACGGCUCAGUAACGCGUAGUCAACCUAACCUAUGGACGGGAAUAACCUCGGGAAACUGAGAAUAAUACCCGAUAGAACAUUAUGCCUGGAAUGGUUUAUGUUUCAAAUAAUUUAUUGCCGUAGGAUGGGACUGCGGCCUAUCAGUUUGUUGGUGAGGUAAUGGCCCACCAAGACUAUUACAGGUACGGGCUCUGAGAGGAGUAGCCCGGAGAUGGGUACUGAGACACGGACCCAGGCCCUAUGGGGCGCAGCAGGCGAGAAAACUUUGCAAUGUGCGAAAGCACGACAAGGUUAAUCCGAGUGGUUUCUGCUAAAGGAACCUUUUGUUAGUCAUAGAACCACUAAUGAAUAAGGGGUGGGCAAGUUCUGGUGUCAGCCGCCGCGGUAAAACCAGCACCUCAAGUGGUCAGGAUGAUUAUUGGGCCUAAAGCAUCCGUAGCCUGUUUUGUAAGUUUUCGGUUAAAUCCAUACGCUUAACGUAUGGGCUGCCGGGAAUACUGCAGAACUAGGGAGUGGGAGAGGUAGACGGUACUCGGUAGGAAGGGGUAAAAUCCUUUGAUCUAUCGAUGACCACCUGUGGCGAAGGCGGUCUACCAGAACACGUCCGACGGUGAGGGAUGAAAGCUGGGGGAGCAAACCGGAUUAGAUACCCGGGUAGUCCCAGCUGUAAACUAUGCAAACUCGGUGAUGCAUUGGCUUGAUGCCAAUGCAGUGCCGCAGGGAAGCCGUUAAGUUUGCCGCCUGGGAAGUACGUACGCAAGUAUGAAACUUAAAGGAAUUGGCGGGGGAGCACCACAAGGGGUGAAGCCUGCGGUUCAAUUGGACUCAACGCCGGA
rnacentral:rRNA from 1 species